rnacentral:rRNA from 1 species
AUGUGCCUUCGUUGGAUCUGGACACUGGACACCGAGUUGGAGAGAGAACACGUGAGACGGGGUGGAGGGCGCACACACGCGACAGCAGCGACGGCUGCUCCGGCCAGAAGAAGGAAGAACACGACGCAGAUCGAGCCGAAGAUGGCCGGGGCAGGGAGGAUCCGCCGCACGCACGGGACGCCCGCUGCUCGGCACGGGCCAGCGAGGCGGGGGUGGAGAGCGCGCACGGGAGUGCCCGCUUCUGGGCACAGGCCACGGAAGGGAGCACGCCCCGCCGCGACCAGCCGGCGGCGGCCGACGGCAGCGAGGGGAUGGGCUGAAGAAGGGGGUAGCGGCCGCGGCUGCUGGGAUGGCUGUGGCGCGGGGGCAACUCGGUCACCAUGGCCACAAAACUUUCUACUCCUCCUUGGGGCGUCAUGCGAGGAGGAAGAUGCGGGGUUGUCGCAGCGGCGGCCAUCGAUCGACGGCGGCGGUGGGAACACGCUAGGUGCCGCCCUCUCCUACACGCUGAGAAUCUAUCGGGGUUGGUUAAUUAAUAGGGAAGGUGGGCUCCCAAUGGGUUAA